UACAUCACUGUAAUUUCCAUCACAUAAUAGAAUUAAUCACAAUACAUCAACUGAGAUGUGCUGGAAAUGCCACUGUGGUGGAUAUUUUGUUUCAGAAAAAAAUGACCACAAGUGACAGGAUUCGCCUGAAGUGCAUGUAUAUUCACAGUUAAAGAUUGCUAGUGAAGAGCUUAAAAAUUGUAAGAAAUGUAUGUUUUAAAAAGAGUUUAUUUUCUACAAGUCAAUUCUAAAUCUAGUUGACCUUAGUAAACAACUAGUGGUUGCUGGAUCCAUCCCAACCCCAGAUGUUCCAUGGAGACAACCCAGUGGUUUAAUUAUGUGGUGAAAUGUCUUGCCCGUUUGAUGACCCUGGUAAUUAGAUAAUAGAGCCUGACAUUCCCAUAGAUCAGAGGCGGAUGAUACUGCACCAGUCUGGGCAUGUGCCCUUUGCCAAAUGGUCUGAGUCUUAAUAGUGUUUUGAUGGGCCACCCCUCUGUCACCACAAACCCAAGGUGGUGCAGAAACAAGGACAUCUGCUGCCAGAAAGUUGUACUCCUUUACAAUCCACCUUGCAAAUGAAUCAAUGUAUAGAAGCCGUCAGCAGACUCUCAGGACAUCUUUUGCCCUCUUGGCAUGUCUCAUGUUGUUUUAUCUGUCAUCAAGACUGAAUAAGCCAUGGAACAUCAAAGAGACAGGAAGGCCCUCAGAGGUUCUGAUACAGUACAACAGAGCUCAUGCUAAUUCUUCUAUGCCAGCCUCGGUCUCCGAGGACGUCCUAUUAUUUGAGAAAUGUGAGCUGCAUGCAGGCGAAUUAGCAUUGGUUUUAUUUUUUUGUCUUAUAUUUUGUGGGUUUGGUUGACACACACUCUUACCUUAACACUGAGAAUGAAAUUAGCUUAAAAAAAUACUUGCAGUCUUUGAAAAAGCUUAGUCUCCAAUUGCGCUUCGGUUCAUAGCCCUCUUUCUCUAAAGUGCCUCAAUAAAGUCUAUCACCUUAUUUGCGAAAGUAAUAUGGCCCAGUGCGAUCCCAAAUUACAUAUAAAUGACACAGCAAAUUGGAAAAUUAGGAGAGGAGGGAAGGGUAAUUUGCAAGCAAACAGGGUAAAACCAAUUUAUUAGGAGAGCAGGGAGAAAAAUAGCCACAGCUACUGACAUCCAUAAAAACAUCAGUCUCUCAUUCAGACUCGCAGGUGUAUCUCUAAAAAUCCUCCUCAGGUCAAAUAUCUGAAUGUCUAUUAAAAGUGAGAAGGAUGCCGUUUAAAUGAAAUUGAAUGAUUUUGUGAUUCAUUUGGUCAAAUAAUUAGCAUUUAAAAUGAGAAAGUGUUUUGAAUGAAGUCUAAAACAUGACCUGGUUUCUACAGGUAUUUCUUCUGAUGUUCUGACUGCUGCUUGGACAGAUGAGGAGUCUGAAGGAAAGGCCAUUAGUGUGCACUCUCACUGUGUUCUAUCCCUCAAUUGGCACUUGUCCUUCUCCAGGUGAGUCUCUAUGCUCCACAUAUGGAGAUUUCACAGGCUGCAGAUGGAUGGCCAGUGUGAGUCCGGAGAAUUUGAGGUCCCUGGUUUAAAGUUUCUGACCAUCAAAUGGGCCCCAUGGGUUUCGCUGGAGAACCGGCUCCUCUCACGCCAUCUGUUAGCCUCUUCCUGAUCUUGACACCAGGGAAACCUGUCCAAUCAAAAGUUCUUCAGAUACUGUUCUGACAGAAGGCCCCCGUAGGCCUGUAGAAAUCAGAAAGAAUGUAAUCCAUACAGCGGUAAGUUUAUACAGUUUGCCAAGUUUCUCUCACUCAAACUGGGAAGGGCAUCUGUAGUUCCUAGCAUGCUUUGCAUUGGGAGUAAAUGUUGGUUAUUUUAAAAGUUCUUUAUAAAGUGUUGCUUCAGAGAGGGAGACUUGAUAAUGUUUAAUGUCAAAGUAAAAGUGAAGUGACAUGUGACCCAUACUCGGAAUUUGUGCUCAGCAUUUAACCUAUCCAAUUGCACACACACACACACAGUAGUGAACACA